rnacentral:rRNA from 1 species
UACGAAGGGUGCAAGCGUUGUUCGGAUUUACUGGGCGUAAAGCGUCCGUAGGUGGUUUGUUAAGUCAGGGGUGAAAUCCCAGGGCCCAACCCUGGAACUGCCUUUGAUACUGGCAAACUGGAGCGCGAUAGAGGAAGAUGGAAUAUCUGGUGUAGGGGUGAAAUCCGUAGAUAUCAGAUAGAACACCAAUGGCGAAGGCAGUCUUCUGGAUCGUCGCUGACACUGAGGGACGAAAGCGUGGGUAGCAAAC